rnacentral:rRNA from 1 species
AGUGAACGCUGGCGGUAGGCCUAACACAUGCAAGUCGAACGGCAGCACAGUAAGAGCUUGCUCUUACGGGUGGCGAGUGGCGGACGGGUGAGGAAUACAUCGGAAUCUACUUUUUCGUGGGGGAUAACGUAGGGAAACUUACGCUAAUACCGCAUACGACCUACGGGUGAAAGCAGGGGAUCUUCGGACCUUGCGCGAUUGAAUGAGCCGAUGUCGGAUUAGCUAGUUGGCGGGGUAAAGGCCCACCAAGGCGACGAUCCGUAGCUGGUCUGAGAGGAUGAUCAGCCACACUGGAACUGAGACACGGUCCAGACUCCUACGGGAGGCAGCAGUGGGGAAUAUUGGACAAAGGGCGCAAGCCUGAUCCAGCCAUACCCCGUGGGUGAAGAAGGCCUUCGGGUUGUAAAGCCCUUUUGUUGGGAAAGAAAAGCAGCAGGUUAAUACCCCGCUGUUCUGACGGUACCCAAAGAAUAAGCACCGGCUAACUUCGUG